ensembl:misc_RNA Metazoa_SRP Metazoan signal recognition particle RNA
GCCAGGUGCGGUGGCGCAUGCCUGUAAUCUCAGCUACUCGGGAGGCUGAGGCAGGAGAAUCGCUUGAACCCGGGAGGUGGAGGUUGCAGUGAGCUGAGAUCGGGCCACUGCACUCUAGCCUGGGUGACAGAGUGAGACUCUGUCUCAA